AGAGCGAACGCUGGCGGCGUGCUUAACACAUGCAAGUCGAACGCGCAGCAUUCUGUAGCAAUACAGGGUGUGGGCGCGUGGCGAACGGGUGCGUAACACGUGGAUAACCUUCCUUCAGGUGGGGAAUAACCCAGUGAAAAUUGGGCUAAUACCGCAUAACAAAACGAUGAGACAUCUUGUUGUUUUCAAAGGCGCAAGUCGCCAGAAGAGGGAUCCGCGGCCGAUUAGCUUGUUGGCGAGGUAAUGGCUCACCAAGGCAAUGAUCGGUAGCCGGACUGAGAGGUUGGCCGGCCACACUGGAACUGAGACACGGUCCAGACUCCUACGGGAGGCAGCAGUGGGGAAUCUUGCACAAUGGGCGAAAGCCUGAUGCAGCAACGCCGCGUGGGGAUGAAGCUUCUCGGAGUGUAAACCCCUUUCGACCCGGAAGAACGCCCGCAAGGGUUUGACGGUACGGGUAUAAGGAAGCCCCGGCUAACUACGUGCCAGCAGGCCGCGGUAA
rnacentral:rRNA from 1 species